ACACUGGAAAGAUGCAGGAGGGAGAGACAUCUGACUUGCAGGUGCAGGGGGGAAGCCACCCCAGGAGGGCUACACUGCAAGGUCCAGGGCAGCAAAGAUAAAAUAAAGAUUGUGAUCAUGGCUUCAGUUACCUAAGCUCAGUUGUGGUCAGGAAACAGCUAAUGGAAAAUUUCAGCAAUCAUUCCUUCUUUGGACUCAUGUCAAUUUGGUGGAAUCUCUCGGUUACUUCUGGAUCCAGCUGCUGCUACCGAUUCAUGUUUGGUGUUAGCUGAUUGGACUGGACUGCCACUACUGAUUUGUGUUUGAUGUUUUGAACCGGACUGCUGAUAACCUGACAACGAAGAUUGGAAUCACCCUAAAGAACUACUUCUAAACAGGCCCACAUCCUCCUUGUUCUAUUAACCAUCUUUCUCCUAUACCUCUGGUAGGUGAGCUAGAAGGGAGAUUGAAGCAUUAAAGAACCCUAAUUAAAGUCGGUUUUGAAAACUCUAA